AUUGAACGCUGGCGGCAUGCCUAACACAUGCAAGUCGAACGCGAAAGUCCUUCGGGGCGAGUAGAGUGGCGGACGGGUGAGUAGUACGUGGGAAUCUACCUGGUAGUGGGGGACAACCCGGGGAAACCCGGGCUAAUACCGCAUACGUCCUACGGGACAAAGGGGGCCUCUGCUUGCAAGCUCUCGCUACCAGAUGAGCCCACGUCCGAUUAGCUAGUUGGUAGGGUAAAGGCCUACCAAGGCGACGAUCGGUAGCUGGUCUGAGAGGAAGGCCAGCCACACUGGGACCGAGACACGGCCCAGACUCCUACGGGAGGCAGCAGUGGGGAAUAUUGGACAAUGGGCGCAAGCCUGAUCCAGCAAUGCCGCGUGUGUGAAGAAGGCCUGCGGGUUGUAAAGCACUUUCAGUGGGGAGGAAAAGCCUGGGGCGAAUACCCCUGGGUCUUGACGUUACCUACAGAAGAAGCACCGGCUAACUCCGUGCCAGCAGCCGCGGUAAUACGGAGGGUGCAAGCGUUAAUCGGAAUUACUGGGCGUAAAGCGCGCGUA
rnacentral:rRNA from 1 species